UACGAAGGGGGCUAGCGUUGCUCGGAAUCACUGGGCGUAAAGCGCACGUAGGCGGACUCUUAAGUCGGUGGUGAAAUCCUGGAGCUCAACUCCAGAACUGCCUUCGAUACUGAGAGUCUCGAGUCCGGGAGAGGUGAGUGGAACUGCGAGUGUAGAGGUGAAAUUCGUAGAUAUUCGCAAGAACACCAGUGGCGAAGGCGGCUCACUGGCCCCGGUACUGACGCUGAGGUGCGAAAGCGUGGGGGAGCAAACAGGG
rnacentral:rRNA from 1 species